rnacentral:rRNA from 1 species
CGCGUAGGUAACCUGCCUGGUAGCGGGGGAUAACUAUUGGAAACGAUAGCUAAUACCGCAUGACAACAGUUAUUGCAUGAUAGCUGUUUAAAAGGGGCAAUUGCUCCACUACCAGAUGGACCUGCGUUGUAUUAGCUAGUUGGUGAGGUAACGGCUCACCAAGGCGACGAUACAUAGCCGACCUGAGAGGGUGAUCGGCCACACUGGGACUGAGACACGGCCCAG